rnacentral:pre_miRNA from 1 species
AUUAUACUCCCUCCGUCCGAAAAUACUUGUCAUCAAAAUGGACAAAAAGGAAUGUAUCUAAAACUAAAAUACAUCUAGAUACAUCCAUUUUAUCCAUUUUGAUGACAAGUAUUUCCGGACGAAGGGAGUAUAUA